UGUUAUUAUGUAGAAUAAACUGUCUACAUUGCUUUAGAUGAAUGAAAGUAAUGUAAAUAAAUAAAUCUACAUUAAGUAAACAUAAGUUAUCUAUUUCAUUUGACCAUUAGUGUUGUUGAUAAAUUAAGUGAGUGAACACAUCAGCAUCUAUCUCAACAUGUAAAUGCAGUAUAUCACAGAUAAAUGACAGAGACUGACUCUUGUCUGGAUGUUACAGGGACAGAUGAGACACACGUGUGUUUAUCUGAUGAAGAGAGACUGAUGAAGAAAUGCUGCCAUCAAAGAUUCUCAAUGAAUCUUUUGUGGUGGAGCAGGUGACAGCAGCAUCUGUGGAAAAAACCUGAAAGAAAAAUAUAAAGAUCUGAAAUGUCUGCAGACUGCUGUGUGCACUGAGGAUGGAGAAGAUGGAGUGCCAUGGGUGAAAUGCUCCAUCACUGCAUCUCCUCUUGUUUUCUCAUCAGGACCAGAUGCUGCUGUGGUCUCUUCAUUCAGUGACCCCAGAGCCUGCGAGAACAUCUAGAGAAAAACCAAAAGACACAAGGAUGUGAUUUUGGUCAAGUUUGUUCUGCUGAUUUCUGUUCAUACAACAUCAGUCAAUAAAACCUGAGUUUCAGAAGUUUCUAAAGUAUCAUCAAAUAAUGUCACAAAGAAUCUGAAAGUCAGGCUCCAUUGACUGAUACUGUAUGAACAUAAACCAGCAGGAGAAACCUGACCAACAUCACCUUUAUGUUCAGGCAAAGGAUUGAACAGAAU